AGCCCCAAGGCGCCUUUGUUGGCGACCGCAGAAUCCGCGGUGUGCAAAGUCGGAAAGGGGUCCGGUUUCCCGGAGAGGCUAAGGUGGUGUGGAGGUCGGCGGGACAGCGGGAGGUCACGCGGCGCCAUUCCCCGGGAGCCCGGGACCCCUGGCACCCGGAGGCAGGGUCCUCGAUUCCCGGGCAGCCUCCGCGGCCCUCCCUCCAAAACGUCACUGAGAGAGGCGAAGCGACCCCAAAUCGAUCGGCACUGCCGGCCGCUAGUGGACGCUGGCUGCGUGGAGCCCCGAGGCACUACUUGUCCCAGCGGAGGAAUCCCGCGCAAGUCGAAGCGGCGGCGACGCGUACCAGUCGUGACGCCGCCGACGCCCGGCCGGUGGCGCAGCGACGUCGCGGGAGGCGGGGGCGACCGUGACGGCGGCGGCGGCCGCGGCGGCGGCGGCGGGGGCGGGAGAGGGAGCGGGUCGGGAAGUAGUUCCGGGUGCGCGGCCCCGGAUGUUGGCUGCUCCCGCUGCUGCCGCCACUCUCGGCGCUGCUCGGGGCCUCGGCCGCUCGCACCAGGCGCCGUUGGGACCUUUCCCGGGGGGGCGGAGACGCACUUAGCGGCCGGGGGCUCGGCCGGGCCGUCCCGGCCUGCGCAGCCUGAGGUGAGUGCCCGCCGCCGAGGCGGCCGUGCCGGGGCAACGGGGCGAGGAGGCGGGGCUGGGGCAUCUCCCGGGACGGAGGCAGGGGCUGCCCUCGGAGAGACGUCCUCUCCCUGCUUUCGCUCGCGGCCGCGCCGUGAGGUGGGCGGCGGGCGGCGCGGGGGGCCGGGGCCUGGGCCGGGGCCUGGCGGGCGGCGAGGGCUGAUCCCUCCCUCCCCCGCGGCGCUGCUCCUCAGCUGCUGCUGCCCCUCAGCCGGGAAGCGGCAGCUCCGCGCCUCCCGCCCCUCCCCCAGCUGGGGCCCCGGGGGAGGGGGACCAGACGUGGAUCCCCGUGGGCGCCGGGGCCGGGGACAGCGAGCGUCCCCUUUCGCCUGGAAGCUGCACCCUGGCCUCGGCCAGCCCUCGAACCCCGGGCAGCGGUGCGGCUUCUUCCCUUGA
rnacentral:lncRNA from 1 species